GAGCUGAAGACAGACGCUUAAUGACGGAGCCACCCAGGCGCCCCAUGGCAGAGUCCACUUUUGAGAGCUCCAGAAAUCGUCAAAACCUUCCAGCGACCAGAGGGAGGAGCUGAUGCUUUGCGGGACAUGUAUACGUCUAAGCAGCAUGGCUGACACAGACCAAACCCAUGCCGGUAAGCUUUCGAGAACCACUGAGUGUGCAGACAGUAGUGCUGGCCCAGGCAGGCAGAGGAAGAAUAAAUAGUGCUUGGGGGAGAGCAGUAGUGAUCGCCAGGGUACGUGAAGAUGCGGACGCUGUAGCAGGAACAACUCCCCAGUACUGACAUGUGCAAAGUUCCCGAUCUCCGGGACAGAGACAGCCCAGCCCAGCCCCACAGCAGGGGACAGACGAACGCCGGCACCUCAACCCGGAGAAAACUAAAGAAGCGGAGUUCAGGGUGGCUGGACUGGAACCCACGCACAGGGACCUCACUCAGCAGCAGCUGAAGCCCAAGACAGGCCGAAUGCUGCUGUUGGCUGUAGCAUUGGACAUGGCGGUCGUGUUCAGCUACGGAGAAGAAUGGGAGAAGAGAACACUUCGAACACGCUCAGUAGCCUGCCCGGCACCACAGAGGAAGGAACAGAGGAAAAAGUCCAAGAUGGGUUUCCAUGGCUCAGAGCUUUGAGGAGACCUGUGCUCUGCCAUCAACAUGGGGUUUGAACUCC